CGGACUUCCGGCUGGUCUGCUGCGAUUCGGGAUCGGGGUUUCUUGGUAGGCGUCAGGGGCAGGCAACAGAGUGGCGGCCGCUACGGCCCUGGAACGGGGCCAUGGAGAAGCUGCGGCGAGUCCUGAGCGGCCAGGACGACGAGGAGCAGGGCCUGACCGCGCAGGUCCUGGAUGCCUCAUCCCUUAGUUUCAACACCAGAUUGAAAUGGUUUGCCAUCUGCUUCGUAUGUGGCGUUUUCUUUUCUAUUCUUGGAACUGGAUUGCUGUUUCUUCCGGGUGGCAUAAAGCUUUUUGCAGUGUUUUAUACCUUCGGCAAUCUUGCUGCGUUAGCCAGUACAUGCUUUUUGAUGGGACCUGUGAAGCAACUGAAGAAAAUGUUUGAAACAACAAGAUUGCUUGCAACAGUUAUUAUGCUGCUGUGUUUUGUAUUUACCCUGUGUGCUGCUCUUUGGUGGCAUAAGAAGGGACUGGCUGUGUUAUUCUGCAUAUUGCAGUUCUUGUCAAUGACCUGUUCCCAGAUGAUGCUGUCACUGCUGGUCGGGGUCACACUUUGAGAACCACUGUACAGUCUCAUGCUGCUGUAUUUAUUAUAAGGUUAGACAUGGCCUUUUGGCAUAAAGAAAAACCAUCAUUCAGAUGAAGAUUCAACAUGCUUGAAUAUUUCUUGCAGGUAUAGCCUGUCGUACAUCCCAUAUGCAAGGGAUGCAGUUAUCAAAUGCUGUUCUUCUCUCCUAAGUUGAAAAUCAGAAACUCGUGGAAAAGAGUACUUGAAUGUUGAUACUCUAUGUUUGGUGAAGUUUGCUUUUCCCCAUAAAAUACUCCAGAAACAACUGAAGUGACAGUUGAAGACCAUUUUGUACUAAGUCUCAUUUUGUUUACUGGUAAAAACUACAUGCUUGAUUAAACCAUUAAAUGCUUGUAACUUUAAAUUCAUUAUGUGUCAUUAAUACGCUUUUCCAAAGAUAAGAUUUUUAAUCACUGCCAGUUGUAAAUUAUUUUUAGCCAAUUUUUAAAUCUUUUCAAAACAGCUUUGAAAUGUGAAUAUUUAAGGGUAGACCUGUGCUGCAAGAUAAUUAAGCUUUUUUGGCUUUUAAAAAAGUCUGCAUUUUUAAGUUUUUUUUUUUUUUACUUUAAAUGUGAAACUUAUUUUAAGCUAAAAAUUGCUUAUUAUAUGUAAUAAAAAUGAUAUAUAAAUCUUUACAAUUUUGAAAUAAACCCAUCCUUGGAAAAAUAA